rnacentral:rRNA from 1 species
GACGAACGCUGGCGGCGUGCUUAACACAUGCAAGUCGAACGGAAAGGCCCUGCUUUUGUGGGGUGCUCGAGUGGCGAACGGGUGAGUAACACGUGAGUAACCUGCCCUUGACUUUGGGAUAACUUCAGGAAACUGGGGCUAAUACCGGAUAGGAGCUCCUGCUGCAUGGUGGGGGUUGGAAAGUUUCGGCGGGUGGGGAUGGACUCGCGGCUUAUCAGCUUGUUGGUGGGGUAGUGGCUUACCAAGGCUUUGACGGGUAGCCGGCCUGAGAGGGUGACCGGCCACAUUGGGACUGCGAUACGGCCCAGACUCCUACGGGAGGCAGCAGUGGGGAAUAUUGCACAAUGGGCGGACGCCUGAUGCAGCAACGCCGCGUGCGGGAUGACGGCCUUCGGGUUGUAAACCGCUUUCGCCUGUGACGAAGCGUGAGUGACGGUAAUGGGUAAAGAAGCACCGGCUAACUACGUG